AAAGUACUUCCUCCGUCCCAAAAUUCUUGUCUUAGAUUUGUCUAGAUAUGGAUGUAUCAAGUCACGUUUUAGUAUUAGAUACAUCCGUAUCUAGACAAAUCUAAGACAAGAAUUUUGGGACAGAGGGAGUAGUUG
rnacentral:pre_miRNA from 1 species